rnacentral:rRNA from 1 species
CUAGCUGUAAACGAUGGAUACUAGGCGUUGAGAGUAUCGACCCUCUCAGUGUCGUAGCUAACGCGUUAAGUAUCCCGCCUGGGGAGUACGCGCGCAAGCGUGAAACUCAAAGGAAUUGACGGGGGCCCGCACAAGCGGUGGAGUAUGUGGUUUAAUUCGAUGCAACGCGAUGAACCUUACCAGGGCUUGACAUGUCCGGAACCCUGCCCAAAGGCGGGGGUGCCUACGGGAACCGGAACACAGGUGGUGC